GCAAAAAGGUUCUUGGUACUGAGUCUUCUAAUUUCCUUUUUUUUUUCCCAGAUUUCAGUUAUCUGUGUCACUUCUUUAAACAAUGUGCGUGUUUUCUUUCUUCUACGUUGCUUCCCCAAAUGUGAUCAUAUUUUCCCUAAUUUCUUGUCAUUAUGGAUAGGGUGGAGAACAAUGCUUGUCGUUCCAGAGCUAGAGAGGGAGGUUGAACUCUUAUGGGAAUUGAGAGAUACCCGCAAGCAACUUUGAUUGUUGAGGAAUGAACGCGAUCUAAUUGAAGACAAAAUACAUCAUCUAAAGUGGUCUCUCAAUACUGUGGAGAAGCAAAAAUUAUCUUUUGAAUGCAAUGCUUUGGAGG